rnacentral:rRNA from 1 species
UACGUAGGUGGCAAGCGUUGUCCGGAUUACUGGGCGUAAAGAGCGCGCAGGCGGUCGUUCAAGUCGCGUGUGAAAGCCCCCGGCUCAACUGGGGAGGGUCACGCGAUACUGAUCGACUCGAAGGCAGGAGAGGGAAGUGGAAUUCCCGGUGUAGUGGUGAAAUGCGUAGAUAUCGGGAGGAACACCAGUGGCGAAGGCGGCUCACUGGCCCGGUACUGACGCUGAGGUGCGAAAGCGUGGGGAGCAAACAGG